AAGGAAGAAACAUAAAGGUUAUGUGGUUGGCUUGAAACUAAUGACAGGGGGUUCAAUUCCCUCCUUUCUUG
rnacentral:tRNA from 1 species